AGUAAAGGAAAAGCAACAGAUGUGCUUCACCGUUAAUUUAUGUGCCAUAUUUCUUCGAUUUCCAGCGCACACCAGUCAAAAGAUCGCCUCUAUAUCUGCCAGUGGGAAGCUGGCCGGCACCCGCUACAAAUUGAGGUACGUUGUAGUCGUAUUAGAGUGCAU